UGCCUCAGUAACGGCGAGUGAAGCGGCAACAGCUCAAAUUUGAAAUCUGGCCCGUCUCGGGUCCGAGUUGUAAUUUGCAGAGGCACUUUCGGACUCCGCCCCGGGAUAAAUUUCUUGGAACAGAAUGUCAGAGAGGGUGAGAACCCCGUCUUGACCCGGCGGUCGGGUCCGCGUGAAAGUCCUUCGACGAGUCGAGUUGUUUGGGAAUGCAGCUCUAAAUGGGUGGUAAAUUUCAUCUAAAGCUAAAUAUGGGCCAGAGACCGAUAGCGCACAAGUAGAGUGAUCGAAAGAUGAAAAGCACUUUGAAAAGAGAGUUAAACAGUAUGUGAAAUUGUUGAAAGGGAAGCGCUGGCCACCAGACUUGAGCGCGGCGGUUCCCCCGGGCGUCUGCCCGGGCCACUCCGCCGCGUGCAGGCCAACAUCGGUUCUGGGGGUCGGUCAAAGGCCCCGGGAAUGUAUCUACCCUUCGGGGUCGACUUAUAGCCCGGGGUGUCAUGCGGCCACCCGGGACCGAGGAACGCGCUUCGGCACGGAUGUUGGCGUAAUGGUGGUCAGCGGCCCGUCUUGAAACACGGACCAAGGAGUCUAACAUCUAUGCGAGUGUUUGGGUGUCAAACCCCGGCGCGGAAUGAAAGUGAACGGAGGUAAGAAGCCCCCGGGCUGCAUUAUCGACCGAUCCUGAAGUUUACGGAUGGAUUUGAGUACGAGCAUAGCUGUUGGGACCCGAAAGAUGGUGAACUAUGCGUGAAUAGGGUGAAGCCAGAGGAAACUCUGGUGGAGGCUCGCAGCGGUUCUGACGUGCAAAUCGAUCGUCAAAUUUGCGUAUAGGGGCGAAAGACUAAUCGAACCAUCUGG
rnacentral:rRNA from 1 species